GCAGUGGAAGUGCUGGUUCAAUACGCAGAAUGGGUGGUUUUAAAGAAAACAUGGACAUGUUGACAUAUGACAUACAUGCAUUGUCUCUCACUUGUGUACAAGGAAAUCAUUUCUUUGCCUCACAUAGCAGACUACUGUAUAUGGGCUGGGUUAAAAUGUGAUUUAACUUUGAAAGAAUAAGGUAAAAAUGCAAAAAAAGACAGUCUCUUGGCUUUUCAAGGUCGCUAUUAUUUUAUUUGUCAUCCAAGUAACAGCAACAGCAGCUGGUCUCUCAAAUGAAUCAUCUGACUAUUCCUGCCAAAUAGUCUUCACUAAAUCAACAGGCUCUUUAAGCGAUGACCAAAUUCCGUUUGAUACAUGGACAGUCUCAAAUGAUGCAAAGACUUCCACAUUUACAACACCUGUCACACCAAAGGCAACGUUAACAAUCAAGUCAAGUGAUGUCCCCACUGCCUCAAUUACAUCAAUGUUCACUUCAAGUGAUGUCAUAAUUCUCGCUACAACAUCAACAGUAAUAUCGAAUGAAGUCAUAACGCCCUCAGCACUCCAUAUUGUCCCUUCAACCGAUGCCAGUACUCUCUCAAAUACAUUGACCUCUCUCAAAUACAUUGAUGCCUCAACUACCAGUCAGAGCUCAAUGGGAGACAUCGUUUCUGCAUCAGCCCUCACAACAUCAACAGCUACUUCAACUGAUGCUCCCUCAAUUACCAUUGUUUUAAAUAAUGCCAAUACUCCUCAUAGUACACUCACAGUCCCUUCAAGUGAUGUCAACAAUCCCUCAACUACAUCAACAGCCACUUCAAACGAUGCCUUAAUGUCUUCUAUUUUUUCUACAGUCACUUUAAGUGAUUCUACUACUUUAUCUACUUCAAUGACAGGCUCUAUAAGUGACGUUCCAGCAAACACUUCAGUGAAAAACACUAUUGUCAGAUGUGUAUCAGGUGCUGUUGUAAAUGCCAUUAGGCUGGAAAAUGUUACUAGUCAGGUUAUCACUGCAAGUUGGAUGGGCAUCAACCUGAAUCAAGAAAUUCAGUACACAGUGAAGUUGGUGUCUUAUUCAUCCUCAAUCCAGAACGAGACCUCAGUCACCAAAGCUGUUUUCUUAGACCUUACUCCAGCAACCAUGUACACUCUCACUAUUGAGUACUUAUCCUGUGGCGUCAAGAAAAACAUUUCAAUAGACGUAGUCACAACUGGAAAGGUCUAUGAAUGUUCCACUCGAAUUCCGAGUGGAGAGUUUUUCUCUGAUUAUUUAAAUCAAUCCAGCAGCCUUUAUAAAGACUUUGUGAUCAAUUUCACCAUCCAGGUUGUAAAUAAUCUCCCAAAACAAUACCAGGACCUUAUAAGUGCUCAACAAAUGAUGGUGAUUGUGAGAGAUGUUCGCCAAGGAAGUGUGAUCGUUGACUUUGAUCUGGUGACUGCUUUCGAUGUUAACCUAUCAACGUCUGAUGUCAGGACGAGUGUCAUCAAUGCCCUGAACUUAUCUACACUCAGAGUAGAUCUCAAUAGUACCCAUGUUCAAGAUGCAGAUCUUUGCCAAAGAGGAAUUUACGCAUGCUCACAAAAUGCCAGUUGUGUCACAGAGGGACCUUCAUAUUCAUGUAACUGUAAGGCGGGAUUCAAUGACAUAAACCCAGUGGUGCCUGGUACUGACUGCAUGAGCAUAUCAGUGGAUGCCACCACUACUGCAACAGCAUCAACAGUCUCGCCAAGUGAUGCCACCACUGCCUCAAUUACAUCAACAGUCUCUCCAAGUGAUGCCACCACUGACUCAACUCCAUCAACAGUCUCUCCAAGUGAUGCCACCACUGCCUCAACUACAUCAACAGUCUCGCCAAGUGAUGCCACUACUGCCUUAACUACAUCAACAGUCUCUCCAAGUGAUGCCACCACUGACUCAACUACAUCAACAGUCUUUCCAGGUGAUGCCAACACUGACUCAACUACAUCAGCCGACUCUUCAAGAGAUGCCUCCACUGCUAUAACUACAUCAACAGUCUCUCCUAAUUAUGCCACCAGUGCCUCAAAUGCAUCAAAAGUCUCUCCAAAUGAUACCACCGCUGACUCAGCUACAUUAACAGUCUUUCCAAGUGAUGCCACCACUGCCUCAACUUCAUCAAAGGUCUCUCCAAGUGAUGCCACCACUUACUCAAUUACAUCAACAGUCUCUCCAAGUGAAGCCACAACCUACUCAACUACAUCAACAGUCUCUCCAAGUGAGGCUAUCACUGACUCAACUACACCAACAGUCUCUCCAAGUGAUGCCACAACUUACUCAACUACAUCAACAGUCUCUCCAAGUGAAGUCAUUAGUCCCUUUACCUCGUUGACGUUCACGUCAAGUGAUAACUCCACUACCCGUCAGAGCUCAAUGGGAGACAUUGUUUCUGCAUCAGCCCCCACAGCAUCAACAGCUACUUCGAGUGUUGCCAUCUCUUCCUUAACUCUUUCCACAGUCUCCUCAAGUGAUGUAACCCCUCCCUCAAAUAUAUUGCCGGUCUCUUCAGUUGAUGCCAGAACUUCCCCUGCUCUGUCUAGAGUCACUUCAACUGAUACCACCACUUCAGGUGAUGUCAUCACUUCCUCUAUGACAUUGACAGUCACUUCAAGUGAUGCCUCUAGAAGAAAUCAGACCUCAAUGGGAGAAACUAUUACUGCAACAGCUCCCACAAUAUCAACAGUCCCUUCAACUGAUGCUCCCUCAAAUACCGUUGUUUUAAAUGAUGCCAAAACUCCUCAUAGUACAAUCACAGUCCCUUCAAGUGAUGCCAACAAUCCCUCAACUACAUCAACAGCCACUUCAAACGAUGCCUUAAUGUCUUCUAUUCUUUCUACAGUCACUUUAAGUGAUUCUACUACUUUAUCUACUUCAAUGACAGGCUCUACAAAUGAUGUUCCAGCAAACACUUCAGUGAAAAACACUACUGUCAGAUGUGUAUCAGGUGCUGUUGUAAAUGCCAUUAGGCUGGAAAAUGUUACUAGUCAGGUUAUCACUGCAAGUUGGAUGGGCAUCAACCUGAAUCAAGAAAUUCAGUACACAGUGAAGUUGGUGUCUUAUUCAUCCUCAAUCCAGAACGAGACCUCAGUCACCAAAGCUGUUUUCUUAGACCUUACUCCAGCAACCAUGUACACUCUCACUAUUGAGUACUUAUCCUGUGGCGUCAAGAAAAACAUUUCAAUAGACGUAGUCACAACUGGAAAGGUCUAUGAAUGUUCCACUCGAAUUCCGAGUGGAAAGUUUUUCUCGGAUUAUUUAAAUCAAUCCAGCAGCCUUUAUAAAGACUUUGUGAUCAAUUUCACCAUCCAGGUUGAGACUAAUCUCCCAAAACAAUACCAGGACCUUAUAAGUGCUCAACAAAUGAUGGUGAUUGUGAGAGAUGUUCGCCAAGGAAGUGUGAUCGUUGACUUUGAUCUGGUGACUGCUUUCGAUGUUAACCUAUCAACGUCUGAUGUCAGGACGAGUGUCAUCAAUGCCCUGAACUUAUCUACACUCAGAGUAGAUCUCAAUAGCACCCUUGUUCAAGAUGCAGAUCUUUGCCAAAGAGGAAAUUACGCAUGCUCACAAAAUGCCAGUUGUGUCACAGAGGGACCUUCAUAUUCAUGUAUCUGUCAGGCGGGAUUCUAUGACAUAAACCCAGUGGUGCCUGGUACUGACUGCAUGAUCAUAUCAGUGGAUGCCACCACUGACUCAACUGCAUCAACAGUCUCUCCAAGUGAUGCAACCACUGCCUUAACUACAUCAACAGUCUCUCCAAGUGAUGCCACCACUGCCUCAAUUACAUCAACAGUCUCUCCAAGUGAUGCCACCACUGCCUCAAUUACAUCAAUAGUCUCUCCAAGUGAUGCCACCACUGACUCAACUCCAUCAACAGUCUCUCCAAGUGAUGCCACCACUGCCUCAACUACAUCAACAGUCUCUCCAAGUUAUGCCACCACUGACUCAACUGCAUCAACAGUCUCUCCAAGUGAUGCCACCACUGCCUCAACUACAUCAACAGUCUCUCCAAGUGAUGCCACCACUGCCUUAACUACAUCAACAGUCUCUCCAAAGGAUGUCAUUAGUCCCUCUACCUCGUUGACGUUCACUUCAAGUGAUAGCUCCACUACCCUUCAGGCCUCAAUGGGAGACAUUGUUUCUGCAUCAGCCCCCACAACAUCAGCAGCUACUUCAAGUGUUGCCAUCUCUUCCUUUAGGAUAUCGGCAGUUUCCUCAAGUGAUGUCACCUAUCUCUCAACUAGAUUGCCAGUCUCUUCAAUUGAUGCCAGAACUUCCUCUGCACCUUCUAGAGUCAUUUCAACUGAUACCACCAUUUCAAGUGAUGUCAUCACUUCCUCUAAGAUUUCGACAGUCACCUCGAGUGAUUCUUCAUCUACCAGCCAAUCCUCACUGGGAAGCACUGUUUUGACAACAGUCUUCACCAAUGCAUCCAUAGAAACUAAAGUCCCAACAAUAUUAACAGUGAUUUCAACUGAUGCCACCAUUCCUCCUUCUACAUCAACAGUCUCUUCAAAUAGUGUUUCCUCAUCUACAUCAGUACAUCCAAUUAAUGUCAAAACAACUUCCCAGACAUCCUCUUCAAUUCAGAAUCUGUCGUAUACAUAUUCAGUAACUUCAAGUGAUGCCUCCAAUUCCAGUCAAACCUCAGUGAGAAGCAUUGAUUCAUCAACUGCCACAAUAAACACUAAUGCAUCCAUAGAGACUUUAGCCCCCUUGACAUCAACAGUGAAUUCAAGUGAUUCCAAUACUCCUUCUAUAUCUUCUACAGUAAUUUCCAAUGCCACAUCUCCCUAUUCGACAUUGAUAGUCACUGCAAGUUAUGCCACCACUCCCUUUGCUAGAUCACAAGUAACAAGUCUGGCCACCACUCUAAGACCAACUCCUUCCUCAUCCAGUGCUACUCCAGUGACGACAAGACCAGAAACAACCUCAACUGCAGUCCCAGUAAUCAAUUCUUCAGACACCUCACUUGGAACCGUAUCAAGAGACACCACUUUGGUGACUACUGUCCAAAAUACUUUUACAGGAUGUGGUGCUGUAGUGAAUGCCAUCCGGCUAGAAAAUAUCACUAGCCAGGUUAUCAUUGUGAGUUGGAUGGGAAUCAACCUGAAUCAAGAAAUUCAGUACAUAGUGAAGUUGGUGUCUUAUUCAUCCUCAAUCCAGAACGAGACCUCAGUCACCAAAGCUGUUUUCUCAGACCUUACUCCAGCAACCAUGUACACUCUCACUAUUGAGUACUUAUCCUGUGGCGUCAAGAAAAACAUUUCAAUAGACGUAGUCACAACUGGAAAGGUCUAUGAAUGUUCCACUCGAAUUCCGAGUGGAGAGUUUUUCUCUGAUUAUUUAAAUCAAUCCAGCAGCCUUUAUAAAGACUUUGUGAUCAAUUUCACCAUCCAGGUUGAGACUAAUCUCCCAAAACAAUACCAGGACCUUAUAAGUGCUCAACAAAUGAUGGUGAUUGUGAGAGAUGUUCGCCAAGGAAGUGUGAUCGUUGACUUUGAUCUGGUGACUGCUUUCGAUGUUAACCUAUCAACGUCUGAUGUCAGGACGAGUGUCAUCAAUGCCCUGAACUUAUCUACACUCAGAGUAGAUCUCAAUAGUACCCAUGUUCAAGAUGCAAAUCUCUGCCAACGAGGAAAUUACGCAUGCUCACAAAAUGCCAGUUGUGUCACAGAGGGACCUUCAUAUUCCUGUAAAUGUCAGGUGGGAUUGUACAGUGAAAACCCUGCCUUGCCUGGUACUGCCUGCAUGAUCACUUCAAGUAAUGCCACCACUCCCUCAACUUCAUUCACAGUCUCUUCAAGUGAUGCCAUAACUCUCCCUGCUCCAUCAACAGUCACUUCAGGAGUUCCCCAAAUAUCAAUGGCCCCAGCUGAAGGCUGGAAAGUAGCAACCAUAGUCCUUGGAGUUCUGCUGGGCUUCAUUUUGUUAGUUGUGGUUUUUGCUUUGAUCAUGACUGCACUGAGAUCAACUAACAGGAUCAUGUCAUACAACAUCCAUCAGCCAGAGGACAACAUACAGGUGGUGUCCACUGACUACAUACAUAAACACUAUUCUAACUGUGUGUAG
rnacentral:lncRNA from 1 species